UGGACGAUGAUGAGUACUGGUGGCAUAUGAGUCAUCUUCAAUGAAUAUGUGUCUGGAACUCUGAGGUGCAU
ensembl:snoRNA